rnacentral:rRNA from 1 species
GAUCCUGGCUCAGGACGAACGCUGGCGGCGUGCCUAACACAUACAAGUCGAACGGAAAAUUGAGCUUCGGUUCAAUUUUAGUGGCGAACGGGUGAGUAACGCGUAGGCAACCUGCCCUUUAGACGGGGACAACAUUCCGAAAGGGAUGCUAAUACCGGAUGUGACGCUCCCAUCGCAUGACGGGAGCGUGAAAGAUGGCCUCUACAUGUAAGCUAUCGCUAAAGGAUGGGCCUGCGUCUGAUUAG